rnacentral:tRNA from 1 species
AGAUUUUGGACUUAUGAUAUUUGAUUUGAAAUCAAGUUAAUUGCUUUUGAUGAUAGCAACGUGAGUUUG